UACGAAGGGGGCAAGCGUUGUUCGGAAUUACUGGGCGUAAAGGGCGCGUAGGCGGCGAUCUUUGUCAGGUGUGAAAGCCCCAGGCUCAACCUGGGAAUUGCACUUGGGACGGGAUUGCUUGAGUUCGGGAGAGGAGAGUGGAAUUCCCCAGUGUAGAGGUGAAAUUCGUAGAUAUUGGGAAGAACACCGGUGGCGAAGGCGGCUCUC
rnacentral:rRNA from 1 species